rnacentral:rRNA from 1 species
CCUACGGGUGGCAGCAGUGGGGAAUAUUGGACAAUGGGGGAAACCCUGAUGCAGCGAUGCCGCGUGAGUGAAGAAGUAAUUCGGUAUGUAAAGCUCUAUCAGCAGGGAAGAAAAUGACGGUACCUGACUAAGAAGCCCCGGCUAACUACGUGCCAGCAGCCGCGGUAAUACGUAGGGGGCAAGCGUUAUCCGGAUUUACUGGGUGUAAAGGGAGCGUAGACGGCAGUGCAAGUCUGGAGUGAAAGGCAGGGGUACAACCCCCGGACUGCUUUGGAAACUGUACAGCUGGAGUACAGGAGAGGUAAGUGGAAUUCCUAGUGUAGCGGUGAAAUGCGUAGAUAUUAGGAGGAACACCAGUGGCGAAGGCGGCUUACUGGACUGUAACUGACGUUGAGGCUCGAAAGCGUGGGGAGCAAACAGGAUUAGAUACCCUUGUAGUC